ACCCGUUAAAGAAGGGCCAUCGUACUCACUUCAGAGUUUAGAUCUCGUUGACAACACACGCAACAAGAAGAUAACAGUAAACCUGUGGGGCCGCAGCUCAGAAGUACAAAUUCCACCAAGUGGAACUGAAGUGACUGUCGAGAAUCUUCUCACCGAUUCGUAUUAAGACAGAGUAGUGCUCAAAGCUACACAAGAAACAACAUUUUUGACAGAAGAAGCACCUGCAGCGACAGCAAAAACUGUAACGUUUGUUGCAUUCAUUGAGGACAGUAACAACAUCACUUUCCUUGAUGACCUUGACAUCGAGUAUUAUAGCACAGCUGACCUAUUCUGUAACACCCUUGCCAUUCAGCAACCUGCUGAAGCUCAUCAACAUCUGCCCUUGACUGUCAACAUUGAGCUGCAGACUGUCACAGGCAAAAACACCAUCACCUCCAUGGCUAAGACAUGUGACAGGUAAUACAACACAGUCAUGACAACUAUUAUUAAUGCCGUGUUCCAGAAGUUAGGGUGUUUGACUCUUGGACAACGAUACAUGGGUUCAGUCCCUACUACCAGUAUGUUGCUUGUGCCCUUCAACUACACACUUAAAUAAAAUUGCCCCUCUCCACGCACAAGUU